GACGGGCCCGCACAAGCAGCGGAGCGUGUGGUUUAAUCGAUGUUACACGAAGACUACAGGUUUGACAUGCAAGUGGUAGGAAGCCGAAAGGUGACCGACCCUUCGGGGAGCUUGCACAGGUGCUGCAUGGCUGUCGUCAGCUCGUGUCGUGAGAUGUUCGGUUAAGUCCGCUAACGAGCGCAACCCUCGCUGUGUGUUAUAUGUGUCACACGGGACUGCCGGUCUUAAGCCGGAGGAAGGUGGGGAUGAUGUCAAGUCAGCAUGGCCUUUAUAUCCUGGGCUACACACACGCUACAAUGGCCAACACAAUAGGUUGCUAAGCCGCGAGGUGGCGCCAAUCCAUAAAGUUGGUCUCAGUUCAGAUUGUAGGCUGCAACCCGCCUGCAUGAAGAUGGAGUUGCUAGUAACCGCAGGUCAGCUAUACUGCGGUGAGUACGUUCCCGGGGCUU
rnacentral:rRNA from 1 species